rnacentral:rRNA from 1 species
CACGUAGUUAGCCGGGGCUUCUUACUCAGGUACCGUCAUUUUCCUCCCUGCUGAUAGAGCUUUACAUCACGAAUGACUUCUUCACUCACGCGGCGUUGCUGCAUCAGGGUUUCCCCCAUUGUGCAAUAUUCCCCACUGCUGCCUCCCGUAGGAGUUUGGGCCGUGUCUCAGUCCCAAUGUGGCCGUUCACCCUCUCAGGCCGGCUACUGAUCGUCGCCUUGGUGGGCUUCUACCCCGCCAACCAGCUAAUCAGACGCGGAUCCAUCUUACACCACCGGAGUUUUUCACACUGAGCCAUGCGGCUCCGUGCGCUUAUGCGGUAUUAGCACCUAUUUCUAAGUGUUAUCCCCCAGUGCAAGGCAGGUUAUCCACGCGUUACUCACCCGUCCGCCACUAAGUUACGAAUCACUAGGUUUCAUCGUAACUCCGUUCGACUUGCAUGUGUUAGGCACGCCGCCAGCGUUCAUCCUGAGCCAGGAUCAAACUCU